GUUAGUGUCCACCAAAGCUUUUUUUUAUGAGGCCAGUGUAUUUUUUUAAAUUCUUUGCAAUGGGAGCGCCAGGAAUUUAUGCUACACUAUAAACGGCAGCAGCAUGACGAGGCACCAAGCAUCAAUUCUGUGCUGGGCACUGCACAUUUGAUGUUUUUCUCUGGUCACUGAGAGUUGCAAAACAUUCAACUCGUAGGUCAACCCCAAGACCAAAGGAGCGCCCACGAAAAGAUUUCUGGACAACACGGGUCAGCAGAGCCAGAGGGACAGAUCUGAUUGUAACCAUCAAGGGAAGGAUGUCUUACAGCUGUCUCUUUGUUCAUACAGGCUCCUUUCAUUUGAGCAACCUUUUUGUGUGAAAGGAAUUAAAGGCCUGUUCCAAAUACAGGCCUGUUGAUUUCAGUGAUUCAAGCGGAUAAUAGCCGGGGCUACUAAUUGAAGUUUUAUGGUAAGUUGAGUAAGUGAAUUGGGGUUUACAGUGUAUUGCACAGGUCAGUUAAUGUAACUGCCAUUAGUCACAUCAGAAUUAGUAAUUAAAAAGUAAUCAAAUGUAAUAAGUAACAUUACUUUAAUAAAGUAACUAAAACAGUUACAUUACUCACAACAUUUUUAUCAGGCAGGUGAUGGUGAUGCAGCGACUACAACAAUACUGAGAGCAGGAAAUUAGCAGACACAACAAAAAAAAGGGGUGGAGUAUUUCUGUCUUCUUGUCAGCUGCACAGGGAGAACAUGAUGCUGGACUGAUCACCAUUUUACUGAUACGGGCAGCAAACUGUACACUCCAUACUGUCUCAUUACUAAUUCAUGGCCGAGUGUAACUACAGCUGAAUUCUUAUAAGAUGCUCUGAAAUAGAAACCUGGAGAGAGCGUGUGCCAAGUCUGGUGGUGUGUUUAAGGCAGACUCUUUCAGUGGAUAUUACAGCUUUCUGUCACAUGAAGAUGAGCAUGUUUUUACUUAAUAGAACUGUGAUGGCGACAGCUUUAGUGCCUUACAGAAGGAAGCAAUGGAAAAGGUGUGUUUGGCUGUUUACAAGCCUGUAAAAGUAACCAUCUGUACCUUAAACACAUGGAGCCACACUGAGGCACAAUGCCAUGAUUUAUAGACAGA